rnacentral:rRNA from 1 species
GAUGAACGCUAGCUGCAGGCUUAACACAUGCAAGUCGAGCGACCGGCGCACGGGUGAGUAACACGUAUCCAACCUGCCCUUUACUCGGGGAUAGCCUUUCGAAAGAAAGAUUAAUACCCGAUGUAAAGGAUGGGGAUGCGUUCCAUUAGGUUGUUGGUGAGGUACCGGCUCACCAAGCCUUCGAUGGUGUGGGGUUCGGAGAGGAAGGACCACCACAUUGGAACUGAGACAAGGUCCAAACGGGAAGGGGCGGUAGCGGUGAGUGAUAAAGGUCAGUGGGCGUUAGUCUGCACCGGCCAAGUAGCGUGAAGGGUGAUGGGUUAUGGGUCGUAGAUUACUGUGAUAUAAGAAUAUGUAUUAGAUGAAUAAGGAUCGGCUAACUCCGUGCCAGCCGCCGCGGUAAUAC